GCUGGUCGACAUUUUCUCGGACAAAUGCGAUCAAAUAUUGAUAGAGAUUUUAGCGAAUUGAAUAUUAAAUUACGUGUACGCGUCCUAUUUUCAAUUUUUGUUGACAGAGAGAAAAUGUAAGAAGUAAGAGCUGGGCGACUUUUCGAAAUCUUGCUGUAGGAUACAGCCAUGAGCGUGCGCAGAUGGAAACGUCAUUUCAGAAUCCUGUCAACAACGCCGAAAGACGGAAUGUAAUGAACUAGAAUCUGGGACAAAAGACGCCGAGUGUUCCUGUAUUAGAUUUAUAAAUAAUGUGUUUAUUAAUAAUGAAAUGUGCA